rnacentral:lncRNA from 1 species
GUGUUGAAGUCAUGAGAGGUGGUUUGGAGGACAGGGAGAAGGCAGCCCACAAAGGACUCGCUGUAUUUGAUCAGUCGUCUGGCUCUUAUUCUUAUGGAAGCUACUGGGAGAUUCGAAAUUCUGACCAGAGAUUAACAUGAGUAAGGCCGACUGGUUUGAUACUUCGUUACAGCAGCCCAGGGAAAGGAAGGCGGCAGAACCGUUCUCCCGGUGCCUGCUUACGGCCUGCUCCUCACCCCCUCAGCCCCGCGGUGCUCGGGGCCAAACCCUGGGCCUUCGCCCUGAGCUCCAUCCCCAGCCCUUGUCUGUCUGUCUGUUUGUUUACAGCAGCACCUUGGAACUUACCUUUCUUGGUUCUGGGAGCCAUGAGGUGUACCAAAAAUAAUAAGUACCAAAGAAAUUAUUUUGGCUGGAAAGGGUUGCAAACCGCAAAGCAAGUGGCACCCACGCGUUCUAGCUGGCACAGACAGGGAAUACUGGGACAGAAUUUUCAUGUCCAAAUGCAUCAAGUACCACAUUCGAUGAGUGUCAAAGCAGUUAGUUACAAAAGCAUGACUGUAUGACUGCACGGCUGUGUGUACGUACGUACUGUGUGCAUGCGUGUAUGUUGUGUGUACGUGGGCAUGCAUUGUGAGACCAGGUCCUACUGAGUUGCCCAGACCGGGCUGGAACUUGUGAUCCCCUGCCUCAGCCUCCCAGAGUGCUGGGAUGACAGGCACGAGCCACCACGCCGGUGGACUCCAUUUUCUUUUUAUAGGGUUAUCCCAUCUGGAGACUUCUUGGAUUCUGGUGCAUUUCUUUUCCCUGUGAACUUACAAGAAGACAGUGAGGGAGGAGCCACAGCUCAGCUGCUGCAAAUGGCUUAGGGAGCAAGGCUGAUGCUCUCGGCCUCUCUUUCCUCUGCUGCCCCUGCCGGAGGCCCAGAGGGCUGAGCCCCUCAUGUACCCUUCACAAGGAUUGGUUUACUUGAUUAUUAAAACAUGUUCAGUGGUAUUUAAAGAUGUACAUUUCUUUUGAAUGAGCCACGAGUUCCUUUGGAACUGAAAUGUUAGCACUGUCCUGAAGCAGACUGUACUAGUUCUGUUUAUAGUGUGUGUGUGUGUGUGUGUGUGUGUGUGUGUGUGUGUGUGUUGAGUAAGGCUGGAUCAGCUCUGAAACCUACCUGCAGUAGGGCUCCAUGGAACAACGGUUUGGUCCACAAAUAUAUGACGAUGAUCCCAUGACCAUGAAAAACUCCUGUUGCU